rnacentral:rRNA from 1 species
GACGAACGCUGGCGGCGUGCUUAACACAUGCAAGUCGAACGAAGAGCGAUGGAAGCUUGCUUCUAUCAAUCUUAGUGGCGAACGGGCGAGUAACGCGUAAUCGACCUGCCCUUCAGAGGGGGACAACAGUUGGAAACGACUGCUAAUACCGCAUACGAUCCAAUCUCGGCAUCGAGACUGGAUGAAAGGUGGCCUCUAUUUAUAAGCUAUCACUGAAGGAGGGGAUUGCGUCUGAUUAGCUAGUCGGAGGGGUAACGGCCCACCAAGGCGAUGAUCAGUAGCCGGUCUGAGAGGAUGAACGGCCACAUUGGGACUGAGACACGGCCCAGACUCCUACGGGAGGCAGCAGUGGGGAAUCUUCCGCAAUGGACGAAAGUCUGACGGAGCAACGCCGCGUGAGUGAUGACGGCCUUCGGGUUGUAAAGCUCUGUUAAUCGGGACGAAUGGUUCUUGUGCGAAUAGUGCAAGGAUUUGACGGUACCGGAAUAGAAAGC